rnacentral:tRNA from 1 species
GGCUAGUUAGCUCAAUUGGUAGAGCGCUGCACUAGCAUCGCAGAGGUCAGUGGUUCGAAUCCCGUACAGGCCU